rnacentral:rRNA from 1 species
AUUGAACGCUGGCGGCAUGCCUUACACAUGCAAGUCGAACGGUAACGCGGGGCAACCUGGCGACGAGUGGCGAACGGGUGAGUAAUGCAUCGGAACGUGCCCAGUAGUGGGGGAUAGCCCGGCGAAAGCCGGAUUAAUACCGCAUACGACCUGAGGGUGAAAGCGGGGGACCGAAAGGCCUCGCGCUAUUGGAGCGGCCGAUGUCAGAUUAGGUAGUUGGUGGGGUAAAGGCCUACCAAGCCUGCGAUCUGUAGCUGGUCUGAGAGGACGACCAGCAACACUGGGACUGAGACACGGCCCAGACUCCGCCGGGAGGCAGGAGUGGGGAAUUUUGGACAAUGGGCGCAAGCCUGAUCCAGCCAUGCCGCGUGCGGGAAGAAGGCCUUCGGGUUGUAAGCCGCUUUUGUCAGGGAAGAAACGCUCUGGGUUAAUACCCUGGGGUAAUGACGGUACCUGAAGAAUAAGCACCGGCUAACUACGUGCCAGCCGCCGCCGUAA